rnacentral:rRNA from 1 species
UACGGGGGGGGCAAGCGCUGUUCGGAAUUACUGGGCGUAAAGGGCGCGUAGGCGGCCUGCUAAGUCGGAUGUGAAAUCCCUCGGCUCAACCGAGGAACUGCAUCCGAUACUGGCGGGCUUGAAUCCGGGAGAGGGAUGUGGAAUUCCAGGUGUAGCGGUGAAAUGCGUAGAUAUCUGGAGGAACACCGGUGGCGAAGGCGGCAUCCUGGACCGGUAUUGACGCUGAGGCGCGAAAGCUAGGGGAGCAAACGGG